CGAGUUCCAGGACAGCCUCUAAAGCCACAGAGAAACCCUCUCUCGAAAAAAAACCAAAAAAAGGGGGGUGCUAGGAAUCUUGGGGCGAUAACAGUUUAAUGACUUACUUUGUUUUAUUUUUUAUUUUAUGUGCAUUGGUGUUACACCUGCAUGUGUGUCUGUGUGAAGGCAUUGGAUCCCCUGGAACUGGAGUUACAGACAGUUGUAAGCUGCCAUGUAGAUUCUGGGAAUUGAAAUGGGGUCCUCUGGAAAAGCAGUCAGUGCUCUUGACUGCUGAACCAUCUUUCCUGCCUGACAACAAUAUAAAGAUCUUUGCCCUGGUGAACGUGAUACUAGAGCAGCAGUGGUCAUACUUCCUACUGUCAUUAUUAUUUUAAUAAUUGUUAUUAUAUUAAAACAAAAUAUCCUA